UUUCCCUACGGGACGCAGCAGUGAGGAAUAUUGGUCAAUGGGCGAGAGCCUGAACCAGCCAAGUCGCGUGAGGGAAGACGGUCCUAUGGAUUGUAAACCUCUUUUGCCGGGGAGCAAAAAGCGGUACGUGUACCGCAUCGAGAGUACCCGGAGAAAAAGCAUCGGCUAACUCCGUGCCAGCAGCCGCGGUAAUACGGAGGAUGCGAGCGUUAUCCGGAUUUAUUGGGUUUAAAGGGUGCGCAGGCGGCACGGCAAGCCGGCGGUCAAAUCGCGGGGCUCAACCCCGCCCAGCCGUCGGAACUGCC
rnacentral:rRNA from 1 species